AGCGUACACGGUGGAUGCCCUGGCAGUCAGAGGCGAUGAAGGACGUGCUAAUCUGCGAAAAGCGUCGGUAAGGUGAUAUGAACCGUUAUAACCGGCGAUGUCCGAAUGGGGAAACCCAGUGCAAUUCGUUGCACUAUCGUUAACUGAAUACAUAGGUUAACGAGGCGAACCGGGGGAACUGAAACAUCUAAGUACCCCGAGGAAAAGAAAUCAACCGAGAUUCCCCCAGUAGCGGCGAGCGAACGGGGAGCAGCCCAGAGUCUGAAUCAGCUUGUGUGUUAGUGGAACGGUCUGGAAAGUCCGACGGUACAGGGUGAUAGUCCCGUACACCAAAAUGCACAGGUUGUGAACUCGAAGAGUAGGGCGGGACACGUGGUAUCCUGUCUGAAUAUGGGGGGACCAUCCUCCAAGGCUAAAUACUCCUGACUGACCGAUAGUGAACCAGUACCGUGAGGGAAAGGCGAAAAGAACCCCGGCGAGGGGAGUGAAAAAGAACCUGAAACCGUGUACGUACAAGCAGUGGGAGCACCUUCGGGUGUGACUGCGUACCUUUUGUAUAAUGGGUCAGCGACUUAUAUUCUGUAGCAAGGUUAACCGUAUAGGGGAGCCGCAGGGAAACCGAGUCUUAACUGGGCGUUAAGUUGCAGGGUAUAGACCCGAAACCCGGUGAUCUAGCCAUGGGCAGGUUGAAGGUUGGGUAACACUAACUGGAGGACCGAACCGACUAAUGUUGAAAAAUUAGCGGAUGACUUGUGGCUGGGGGUGAAAGGCCAAUCAAACCGGGAGAUAGCUGGUUCUCCCCGAAAGCUAUUUAGGUAGCGCCUCGUGAAUUCAUCUUCGGGGGUAGAGCACUGUUUCGGCUAGGGGGUCAUCCCGACUUACCAACCCGAUGCAAACUACGAAUACCGAAGAAUGUUAUCACGGGAGACACACGGCGGGUGCUAACGUCCGUCGUGAAGAGGGAAACAACCCAGACCGCCAGCUAAGGUCCCAAAGUCAUGGUUAAGUGGGAAACGAUGUGGGAAGGCACAGACAGCCAGGAUGUUGGCUUAGAAGCAGCCAUCAUUUAAAGAAAGCGUAAUAGCUCACUGGUCGAGUCGGCCUGCGCGGAAGAUGUAACGGGGCUAAACCAUGCACCGAAGCUGCGGCAGCGACACUAUGUGUUGUUGGGUAGGGGAGCGUUCUGUAAGCCUGCGAAGGUGACCUGUGAGGGUUGCUGGAGGUAUCAGAAGUGCGAAUGCUGACAUAAGUAACGAUAAAGCGGGUGAAAAGCCCGCUCGCCGGAAGACCAAGGGUUCCUGUCCAACGUUAAUCGGGGCAGGGUGAGUCGACCCCUAAGGCGAGGCCGAAAGGCGUAGUCGAUGGGAAACAGGUUAAUAUUCCUGUACUUGGUGUUACUGCGAAGGGGGGACGGAGAAGGCUAUGUUAGCCGGGCGACGGUUGUCCCGGUUUAAGCAUGUAGGCUGGUUGUCCAGGCAAAUCCGGAUAAUCAAGGCUGAGGUGUGAUGACGAGGCACUACGGUGCUGAAGUAACAAAUGCCCUGCUUCCAGGAAAAGCCUCUAAGCAUCAGGUAACAUCAAAUCGUACCCCAAACCGACACAGGUGGUCAGGUAGAGAAUACCAAGGCGCUUGAGAGAACUCGGGUGAAGGAACUAGGCAAAAUGGUGCCGUAACUUCGGGAGAAGGCACGCUGGUGUGUAGGUGAAGUCCCUGCGGAUGGAGCUGAGACCAGUCGAAGAUACCAGCUGGCUGCAACUGUUUAUUAAAAACACAGCACUGUGCAAACACGAAAGUGGACGUAUACGGUGUGACGCCUGCCCGGUGCCGGAAGGUUAAUUGAUGGGGUUAUCCGUAAGGAGAAGCUCUUGAUCGAAGCCCCGGUAAACGGCGGCCGUAACUAUAACGGUCCUAAGGUAGCGAAAUUCCUUGUCGGGUAAGUUCCGACCUGCACGAAUGGCGUAAUGAUGGCCAGGCUGUCUCCACCCGAGACUCAGUGAAAUUGAACUCGCUGUGAAGAUGCAGUGUACCCGCGGCAAGACGGAAAGACCCCGUGAACCUUUACUAUAGCUUGACACUGAACAUUGAGCCUUGAUGUGUAGGAUAGGUGGGAGGCUUUGAAGCGUGGACGCCAGUCUGCGUGGAGCCAACCUUGAAAUACCACCCUUUAAUGUUUGAUGUUCUAACGUUGGCCCCUGACCGGGGUUGCGGACAGUGUCUGGUGGGUAGUUUGACUGGGGCGGUCUCCUCCCAAAGCGUAACGGAGGAGCACGAAGGUUAGCUAAUCCUGGUCGGACAUCAGGAGGUUAGUGCAAUGGCAUAAGCUAGCUUGACUGCGAGCGUGACGGCGCGAGCAGGUGCGAAAGCAGGUCAUAGUGAUCCGGUGGUUCUGAAUGGAAGGGCCAUCGCUCAACGGAUAAAAGGUACUCCGGGGAUAACAGGCUGAUACCGCCCAAGAGUUCAUAUCGACGGCGGUGUUUGGCACCUCGAUGUCGGCUCAUCACAUCCUGGGGCUGAAGUAGGUCCCAAGGGUAUGGCUGUUCGCCAUUUAAAGUGGUACGCGAGCUGGGUUUAGAACGUCGUGAGACAGUUCGGUCCCUAUCUGCCGUGGGCGCUGGAGAAUUGAGGGGGGCUGCUCCUAGUACGAGAGGACCGGAGUGGACGCAUCACUGGUGUUCGGGUUGUCAUGCCAAUGGCACUGCCCGGUAGCUAAAUGCGGAAGAGAUAAGUGCUGAAAGCAUCUAAGCACGAAACUUGCCCCGAGAUGAGUUCU
rnacentral:rRNA from 2 species